GUGUGUGACCAGGACGGAGAUGAGAGAUGGUUUACUGCAAGUUGCAAGCCUGGAGCCAGCGAUGUUCCCCCACCCACCCCUGGUCUCCUGUGCCCCCCACCAGCUCCCUGCUCACCUGAAGCCAUGUGGUCAGCUAUGGCCUAUGUGACAGUGGAGGUGAGCUGUGUCACUCUUGAGUGUGGAAAGUGCAACUGAUGGGAGAUCCCUGCGUCUUUCUUUACUUUUGUGGCAGCCAGUGGUGCUUGAGACAGCGGCUUGUAGAGCAGAGCUCCCACCAGCUCCCGUUGGACGUGCGACGCAGGGAGUCAGAGCUGAGUAUCUGCAAUGAGCAAAGCAGAGCCGCUCUAGAGGAAGCAGGGUUGGCGGCUCUGGAAUCACCCACUCAGCUCUACCAAUUUCCAAGGAACCCUGAGCCACUGUUUGCAAACCACUGCGAGGAAAGCGAAACCAAAGUCUGCCUGGUUUUGAAGAACACGCUCUUCAAGUCAUAUGUCAAAUACAUUUUUCAAAUAAAAAUAAAGUAGAGGAGUUCCCGUUAUGGCACAGCAGAAACGAGUCCGACCAAGAACCAUGAGGUUGUGUGUUCGAUCCCUGGCCUCGCUCAAUGGGUUAAGGAUCCGGCGUUGCCGUGAGCUGUGGUGUAGGUCAAAGAUGUGGUUUGGAUCUGAGGUUGCUAUGGCUGUGGUGUAGGCCGGCAGCUGUAGCUCCAAUUGGACCCCUAACCUGGGAACCUCAGUAUGCCUCAGGUGCGGCCCUGAAAAGCAAAAAAAAAAAAUGUUGAAAUAGUAUCCAGUUCUUGUGAGAAGCAGGAAGCAUUCCUUGAAACCUUGAUAUUGUCAUUCUAAAGGGAAAAGAGCAAGAUUAAUCAUUUUCUGAAGUCAUUUAAAGCCAAGAAAAAAUGUGAACUCGUAUGUAACCUGCCCACAAUGAUUAAUUAAAAAAUAAUAAGUAAAGCACUCAUGGUCAGAAAACCAAGUAGUACCAAAGGGCUGCAAAGAAACACAAGUCUUACCUUGCUCACAGUUCUGCUCCCCAGAAGCAAACUUCUUCAGCUGCUGCAGUUUUUGUAUUUUGCGGUCCUUACGGCCACACUAGACAAUAGGCUUAUGCUGUCAGUGUCAGUUGACCUAUCGACUUUGUGUAUAAGCUGUUGGCUUUCUGCUGUGAAAAAUGGGUAUUUAACUCACUCAUGGUUUGAGCACUGGUCUUGUCUGGUCAUUUGUAAUAUUAAAGGCUUACUCUAAACCUUUGUUUCUUAUUCCUUCAGUUAUCUGAUGUUUUAUCUGUUAAUUUUCUCUGGUAGUAAUUUGUUCAACUGCAAGUAACAGAAAGUUCUGCACAGAAUAGUGGCUUAAACAAAAACAGGGUUUGUGUGUUUUUCUACAAAGGAAGUCUGGGCACUUGUGGGUGUUGAUGUGGUUACUAAGCAAUUCCUCAGAAAGCUGGUUUUUGUCCCCAUGCUCAUUGCCUCAGGGUCACAAGACAGCUGUCACAGCUGAAGAUGACUCAUGUGUUUAUAAGCAAGGAAAGGGAGUGGAGGUUCCGGUUGUAUCUUUUGUAUCAGAAAAGUGAAAACUCUCUCAGAGGUCUCGGGAGACUUGCUUCUGCUCGCCUCUCAUUGGCCAGAUGUUGUCAGGUGUGAAGAAGGUGUCAGGCGCCCGGAAAAGCAGGCCUGCGGGCGGGCCCAGCACUGCCUCCGGUACAAGUGAGGUUCCGUUAUGGGAAAAGGGAGAAAAGGACAUUGGAUAGGGAACCGGCGGUGCCCACCGUGUCCUUCUUGUGGGGGGCUCUGUGUGGGGACACGGGCUGCCGCCAUCGCUGAGAAUAGCCAGCCUUGAAUCUGGACGGCUUUUUUUAAGCCAGCUUUUGAUGCAAAGCCAUGAAAGCACAGCUCUGUGAGGUGGUUCUGGAGGCUUCUGUACUCUUGCUGUGUGUCCUUACUUUAAUAUGAUUUUGGAGGUGGAUUUAGAAUGUUCAGAGCUGGAGUUCUCUUGAGCAGGUGCCCACCCCCAAGGCAGGGUUUUUGGGUAAAUGUUUUCUUAGUGGUGGGUUAACACAGUGACUGGUUAUUUUAGCGGGUGGAGCCUAGGGGUGCCUGGAGCUUGUAGAGCAUAGGACAGUUCUGUACAACCAGAAAGUGUCCUGCAUCUCUAAUAGCAUCUGUAGGUCUCAUGGAUAUUUAGGUGCAUGAAACUCCUGUUUGUAAAGAGAAAGGAAAAGCAUCCCUCACAGCUGUCAGAUGGAAGCCGAUGUGGCCCUAAGAGCCAGGCUCCAGUGUUCUUGAACAAAAGUAAUGCUGUACAACGGCAGCAUCUGACGAGGCCACUCUGCCUGAGGGAGCAAGACAAUCGUGAGUAAGGACACUCUGUCAACGUCUGUAGUCCUGUUGGAGCAUCGAAGCAAGGAUGCUGUGCAGAUGACUAAAAAUGACCAAGCACUCUGUCUCUUGCUUACGUGAGAGGCUGCCGCCGCCUGCUCAGUACAGCUUUAGACCUCUCUGUUCUUCUCCUGCCGAGGUGGAAAUUACUGGGUUAGCCGCUCGGUUGCUUUCCUUUCUGAAAGCAGCCAAUCCACGGUAACAUCAUGAUUCAUGGAGCCCUUCUCGAAAUCACCUGACACAGGCCCAAGCUCCCACAGCACGCUUGUCGGAGACACCCCAUAGUUUGUGGUCUCCCUCAUGCAGAAAAUCCAAGAGUUUUUCACCACUUUGAAAACUGUCACUAGGUUUCAUGUCAGCAUGACUCAUGGCAUUUGCCCUGCAAGCUAAAACUGCUGCCGCUGCAUUAGUCUGCUUUGUAGUGACUACAUUCUUGGGACCUAUACGUAUGUUUGCAAGCACCUGACUGUGUUUUAUGUUCAGUAGUUGUGGCCAAAUGGCUACGUUUUCACAUUGAAUUGCAUAUUCCUUUUAUCUCUUUUAUAGGUAGACAUUGAAUUGACUUAAAAUCUGUGGUAAUGAAAUGCCUCUGUAAGUUUUUUAGAAUAAUAAAAAGGAUGUUUAAAAAUAUUUGUAUGAGGGA
rnacentral:lncRNA from 1 species